AGUAACAUCCGGAAACGGGUGCUAAUACCGCUAUAGGUUUUCUUGAUCGCAUGAUUGAGAAAGGAAAGACGGGCCUUUGUGCGUGUCGCUUAUGGAUGGACCCGCGGCGUAUUAGUUAGUUGGUGAGGUAAUGGCUCACCAAGACGAUGAUACGUAGCCGACCUGAGAGGGUGAUCGGCCACAUUGGGACUGAGACACGGCCCAAACUCCUACGGGAGGCAGCAGUAGGGAAUCUUCCGCAAUGGACGAAAGUCUGACGGAGCAACGCCGCGUGAGUGAAGAAGGGUUUUUUCCGGAUCGUAAAACUCUGUUGUCAGAGAAGAACAAGUUGGAGAGUAACUGCUCCAGCCUUGACGGUAUCUGACCAGAAAGCCACGGCUAACUACGUGCCAGCCGCUGC
rnacentral:rRNA from 1 species